CAUCCUCUUACUAGGAGGGAAUGCUGCAGAUAAGAGGAAAUGCCUGCCUAGGAGGGAAGCAGGAACAAGCUUCCUUCCUCCUCACUCCAUUCAGUUUGCUCUCAGAACACAAGGGAGCUGCGCUGACGACCACAGGCCUGACCCUCCUCAAUGGCUCUCCAUCAUUUCACAAUCCCUGGGACAUGUGUUCUGUUGGGUAUGUGUGCCAAGCCCACCACCCAGGGAAACCAGAGGAAAAUUGUUCAGAGCUUCCUCCAGAGCCCAGCCUGCACCGCAGGAGACCAGAAGUCCACACCAAGGGCCUUACUGUGCCAUGUAACUCGGUACAGCAAUGUUGGGCUAGGAGAUCCAGCCUUUAUUGGCAUAAACAACCAAGCCUUGGAGCUGAGGAGACAUCACAGCCAGAGAAGAACUUGCCCUGGAAACACCAAAAGCUACGUAUAAAAGCCGUGCUGGGGAGAUGGAGA
rnacentral:lncRNA from 1 species